GGUUUGAUGAGAAGCGAAGCAAGAAAAAUAAAGUUUGAAAAAAUGAUCAAUAAAGCGAGAACCAAAAUAGGAUAAGUACAAGCCAUCGCAGCGAGAAGCGAUAUAAAAUAAACACAAGGCUUUAGCUAACAGCAAUGGAUAAGUACAAAAGGAUAAAACUGAAAGAGAAGGUAAGUGAAUAGAAAAGAAGUUAAAAGGAGGAAGAAGACAAUAAAGAUGUAAAGUAAAACAAAUUAAAACGUAUGAAUGCAGCAGAAGUAAAAAAGUGUAAAGAGAAUAAAUCUGAGAAGGAAGCGAAGCGGAAGCAAAUGAGCAAAAAAAAAACCAAAAAUAUAAGAGGAGGAAGUAGAGCGAGAAGAGAGUAAGAAGCGAACCGGAACAAAAUAAAGGAAACGCUGCAAACUCAAAUGAAAAAAACUUAAGAUAUGAAUAGAAAUAGAAAGCUCAUGAAAAUACAAAUCACAGCAAUGUAAUGUAGAAGGGAUGGAUACGAGAGAAGGGGAAUUGUUAAAGGAAGAAGUGAAGAAGAAAACAAACAUAAUUAAAAUGAGAAAAGGAGUAAAGAUAAAAGCGAAUUACACCGCGAAUCUAAGCCACAAUUGAAGAGAGAAGCGUACAAAGUGUCAUACUGUUUUCUUAAAUAAGUUAGAUAUUAAAAGGCUAUGUAUUAACUUUGUUUAUGAUGUCAAAUGUCAACGUACAAACUCAAAGGCUAAAUAAAAACGAAAAGAGAAAGAGGUAAGGAUCGAAAGAGAUACACUCCGAGCACUUCAUAGAGCGAAAAUGGGCAGCCUUGAAUAUGCGCCUUUCGCUCGAUGCCGCUGCCGCAUGUGCCACCAAUGGGAGACAUCGAUGAUGCACAUAUAUAUGGGCUAUGGGAAGCGUUUGCGACUCGUCGAGAAGAUGAAGGCAUUCGGCCUCCAAAUAACACCCACCGAUCUGUAUCCGAAAACCAUUUGCAAUCAAUGCAUCAAGGUGCUCGAUAAAAAUUAUUAUUUUCAAAAUACGCUCAAACUGAUAUCGAAAUGAAGCAAAUAUUUGGCUUUGAACAUUUGAAUGGUAUGGUUCUGAGCAUGUCGCAUGGCGAUUAAAGCUCUGCUGAAGAGCAAUUUUUUUUCUAAUUCUAUUCUAUUCUAAUAAAAAGUGUACACAACAAUAGAUCAUCACAGCUGGCAUAGCUUGAGCAGCUGCA